GUCUGGGCCAGGGCUCAGGGUAGAGCUUGGGCUCUUUCUUUAUUGUCCAAAGUUUGCAGGUACAGUCCAUCAUGGCGGAUGCAGGAGAAUGAGGCAGAGGGUCGCAUUGUAUUCACCCUCAGGAAGCAGAAAGGUGAAUGCUGGUGCUCAGCUCUGUUUCUCCUAUUUGUUCAGUUCAAGACUCGAGUCCCCAUGCUACCCUCCUUCGGGAACUCCUGGUCAUGGACUAAAUGAUAGAGAACUCAGUACCCAAAGUGGCUGCUGAUUUCAUGA